rnacentral:rRNA from 1 species
GACGUAGGGCGCGAGCGUUGUCCGGAUUCAUUGGGCGUAAAGAGCUCGUAGGCGGCUUGUUGCGUCGUCCGUGAAAACCCGCAGCUCAACUGCGGGCUUGCGGACGAUACGGGCAGGCUGGAGUUCGGUAGGGGAGACUGGAAUUCCUGGUGUAGCGGUGAAAUGCGCAGAUAUCGGGAGGAACACCGGUGGCGAAGGCGGUUCUCUGGGCCUUACCUGACGCUGAGGAGCGAAAGCGUGGGGAGCGAACAGG